CCUACGGGUGGCAGCAGUGAGGAAUAUUGGUCAAUGGACGAGAGUCUGAACCAGCCAAGUAGCGUGAAGGAUGACUGCCCUAUGGGUUGUAAACUUCUUUUAUAAAGGAAUAAAACGAGGCACGUGUGCCUUUUUGCAUGUACUUUAUGAAUAAGGAUCGGCUAACUCCGUGCCAGCAGCCGCUGUAAUACGGAGGAUCCGAGCGUUAUCCGGAUUUAUUGGGUUUAAAGGGAGCGUAGAUGGGUUGUUAAGUCAGUUGUGAAAGUUUGCGGCUCAACCGUAAAAUUGCAAUUGAUACUGGCAGUCGUGAGUACAGUUGAGGUAGGCGGAAUUCGUGGUGUAGCGGUGAAAUGCUUAGAUAUCACGAAGAACCCCGAUUGCGAAGGCAGCUUACUAAACUGUGACUGACAUUGAUGCUCGAAAGUGUGGGUAUCAAACAGGAUUAGAUACCCUAGUAGUC
rnacentral:rRNA from 1 species